GCUCAGAUGACGCUGCGGCAGGCUACACAUACAAGUCGAGCGGGGAAAGUAGCUUGCUACUGACCUAGCGCGGACGGGUGAGUAAUGCUUAGGAAUCUGCCUAUUAGUGGGGACAACAUCUCGAAAGGAUGCUAAUACCGCAUACGUCCUACGGGAGAAAGCAGGGGACUUCGGGCCUUGCGCUAAUAGAUGAGCCUAAGUCGGAUUAGCUAGUUGGUGGGGUAAAGGCCUACCAAGGCGACGAUCUGUAGCGGGUCUGAGAGGAUGAUCCGCCACACUGGGACUGAGACACGGCCCAGACUCCUACGGGAGGCAGCAGUGGGGAAUAUUGGACAAUGGGGGGAACCCUGAUCCAGCCAUGCCGCGUGUGUGAAGAAGGCCUUUUGGUUGUAAAGCACUUUAAGCGAGGAGGAGGCUACCGAGAUUAAUACUCUUGGAUAGUGGACGUUACUCGCAGAAUAAGCACCGGCUAACUCUGUGCCAGCAGCCGCGGUAAUACAGAGGGUGCAAGCGUUAAUCGGAUUUACUGGGCGUAAAGCGCGCGUAGGUGGCCAAUUAAGUCAAAUGUGAAAUCCCCGAGCUUAACUUGGGAAUUGCAUUCGAUACUGGUUGGCUAGAGUAUGGGAGAGGAUGGUAGAAUUCCAGGUGUAGCGGUGAAAUGCGUAGAGAUCUGGAGGAAUACCGAUGGCGAAGGCAGCCAUCUGGCCUAAUACUGACACUGAGGUGCGAAAGCAUGGGGAGCAAACAGGAUUAGAUACCCUGGUAGUCCAUGCCGUAAACGAUGUCUACUAGCCGUUGGGGCCUUUGAGGCUUUAGUGGCGCAGCUAACGCGAUAAGUAGACCGCCUGGGGAGUACGGUCGCAAGACUAAAACUCAAAUGAAUUGACGGGGGCCCGCACAAGCGGUGGAGCAUGUGGUUUAAUUCGAUGCAACGCGAAGAACCUUACCUGGUCUUGACAUAGUAAGAACUUUCCAGAGAUGGAUUGGUGCCUUCGGGAACUUACAUACAGGUGCUGCAUG
rnacentral:rRNA from 1 species